rnacentral:snoRNA from 1 species
CAGAGUGAUGGAAAACAGGGUUUGAUCCUGAUUGUGUAGAAAAUGUUGUCGCAAAAGGCCAACCUGUGCUUGUAGAA